rnacentral:lncRNA from 1 species
CAGAGGACGAUAUUUGAGUCCAUAAAACAUCUCCAGGUAACGACGACUCUCACGUCUUUCCAGAUUUGAAACAUGCUUCCAGAAACCAUAGAUUGUUGUCAAUGUCAACAGCCUCUCAGAGUACAGCUUCCAAGUAUACCUGUGUAAGCAUUUAAUUUAAUUCUAUGUUUUGAGUUUUGAAUUAUGAAAAUAGUGGAUGCAUGCUACUUACUUGUCAUGGAUACGUUUCAGACCUCCCUGUGAGAUUGUUUCCCAGUAUGCUGGUUCUUGUUUGCACUUGUCAAAGAAACCAACAAGAAUAUCAGAAACAUGGUCGCCCUCAUAGGGGUCAAUAUGGAACCCAGAAACACCAUCGACAAUGAUUUCACCAGGUCCUCCAUGGAUAGUUGCAAAAGUUGGUAAACCACAAGUCAUUGCCUCCACAACU